UGGGGAAUAUUGCACAAUGGGCGCAAGCCUGAUGCAGCCAUGCCGCGUGUAUGAAGAAGGCCUUCGGGUUGUAAAGUACUUUCAGUCGGGAGGAAGGUGGUAAGGUUAAUAACCUUAUCAAUUGACGUUACCGACAGAAGAAGCACCGGCUAACUCCGUGCCAGCAGCCGCGGUAAUACGGAGGGUGCAAGCGUUAAUCGGAAUUACUGGGCGUAAAGCGCACGCAGGCGGUUGACUGAGUCAGAUGUGAAAUCCCCGGGCUUAACCCGGGAAUUGCAUCUGAUACUGGUCAGCUAGAGUCUUGUAGAGGGGGGUAGAAUUCCAUGUGUAGCGGUGAAAUGCGUAGAGAUGUGGAGGAAUACCGGUGGCGAAGGCGGCCCCCUGGACAAAGACUGACGCUCAGGUGCGAAAGCGUGGGGAGCAAACAGG
rnacentral:rRNA from 1 species